rnacentral:rRNA from 1 species
UACGUAGGGUGCGAGCGUUAAUCGGAAUUACUGGGCGUAAAGCGUGCGCAGGCUGUUUUGUAAGUCAGAUGUGAAAUCCCCGGGCUUAACCUGGGAACUGCGCUUGUUACUGAUAGGCUUGAGUGUGGCAGAGGGGGGUGGAAUUCCACGUGUAGCAGUGAAAUGCGUAGAGAUGUGGAGGAACACCGAUGGCGAAGGCAGCCCCCUGGGCUAACACUGACGCUCAUGCACGAAAGCGUGGGGAGCAAACAGG